rnacentral:piRNA from 1 species
UGGGAUGACCCAUGGUAUGCUUUUUGU